CCUGAAAAGAUCACAAAUGAAGAACUAUGGAAGAGAACAGGGCAGGAACCUAUAGACAUACAAAUCAGACGUAGGAAGUGGGGAUGGAUUGGACACACCCUAAGGAAGCCACCUUAAACCACCACACGCCAGGCCCUGACCUGGAACCCGCAGGGCAAGAGAAAGAGGGGACGUCCAAGAAAUACCGUGACUCAGAAGUAGAAUUAAAAGCACAGGACAUGACCUGGCAUGACGCCGCAAAAGCAGCCCAGUAUCGUGUUCGUUGGAGGACUAAAGAAAGUAAAAUGUACAAUGAUUCACUAUUCUACCAGAUACACGUAGUGCAGAGGUAAACCAACGUUGAAUGCCCGUGUGUGGCCGGCUCCAUUUCCUUCUCAUCCCAUUUCAAGCAAAAAUACAAUAUUUAACAUGCCCUAAUAAUUUUCAUUGGCAAUUUGUAAUUACGAAGGAUGAAUUUUAGAUUACAAAUUAUUAACUUGAAAUACCAACUCUCUUCGUAUUUGAAAUUAAAAAUCAAAUCAGGUUUUUUUUUAAAUUACGUAAAAAAAAAACCAAUUGGAAAUCUGUAUAGUUGUGCACAAUCGAACAACUAAAGAAUAUUGAGGAAUUAUAUAGAAAAUUUGAAAUGCCAACACAAUAUGACAAUUCUGUCGCCACAGGCAAUACGCGUCCUGCGUCUGCGCAAUACAUAAUUCAUCCCAAAACAGCAUCAGACACUGAGAAUGAAAAACAAGGCUUGUCUUCAUUUCCACUACAGGCUGUUGUACAAUAGUUUCAUUUCAAAUCCCUACAACGCUUUCUCAUAACUAAAUAUUCAACUUACGUAUCAGACGAACAGAUUGAGAAGUAUAAUAUACGAGAUAAAAGUAUCUCUGAUCGAUAGUCCAGGUAUCCCGCUGCGCUCGCCUAAAGGUAACACCGUCAACACAUUGGCGAACGCUGAAAGUUCUAAACAUUAGGACAUGCAGAGAAAAUUUGAGUCUAACACAUACGUCCAAUGCAUUUUUGGGGUAAAAAAAACUUCCAAAAUCGUAGUGACCGUAGUCUCGAGCAUCCAUAAGUUAGUGUAUACACCCUACAAACGUCUGGAUGCUUUCUAAAAUAAAAUAAAAAAUCCCCGGUUGAUUAAAUAAAGUUGAUUCAGUAAACAAAAAAUUAAGGACGUUAGUGGAAAAAAAAUGUGUUUACAAUAGUGCAUGAUAAAAAUUGUGAAUUCCUUGUAUGAACUAAAAUAACGAUGCUUAAUCGGGAUUAAUUGAAAAUAUUGUACCUUAAACCAGGGUCAUCACAUUCAUCUUGCAUGAUAAUCACACAAGGAAGAGUUUGCAGAAAUGAGUUAGGAAAAAUGUCUAUUAUUUUUUGGUCGACAUUUAGCUGGGUCCUGUCAUUAUACGACUAAACAAAAUGUGUGAGCAUUGCAACAAGCUAUUGUAUAGAAUGUGCAGGAUUAGAUAUCAUUUCUAAGUUGAAUUGCUUAUUCCAAUUCAUAAACUUAAGUCCAUAAUGGUUCCAAGUGACUGAAAAUUGUAAAACCGUCUGCACUUUCACUUACCACAGCUAUUUUGACCGGUGUAACUAUAUGCAAAAAAAAAGGUGGAUUAAAGGGACUGGUUCACGAUUUUUGAAAAAAAAAAUAUUUUCUAUUCUGAAUGUUAAACAUUAAAAAUUGAUGUUGACAGCCAAAAUUUUGACUUUCUGAAUGCAAGAAUAAAAGCAACAUUUUGAUAAACUUAAUCAAUAUCAAUUUCUUUUUAAAAUUUCGUAAACAAUAACAUAGGGCAAUCUUUGUUUACAAAACAAAUAACAAACUCUCUAAAAUGAGCUUCUGUGAUAAUGUAUGGCCUUAAUUUUUAUGUGAAAUCUUUAGACAGUAGGUUUUGAUCAUUAAAAGUGAAAAACAAAAUUUUCGGGGAAAUCGUGAAUCGGUCCCUUUAAAGGACCCAUAACGAUUUAAAGACUCAAAUAUUAAUUCUUAUCAAUAUUAAUCCCUUAUAGUACAUAAUUAUGCUAUCAAUUAAGAAAUAAGAUAUCAUUUUUAAUGUUGUUGGGAUAUGACAUGAAUUUGGUCACGUGAUCAAAUCCUAUAACGCCCGAAGGGCGUUAUAGUAGAUUUGAUCACUUACAACUUCAUGUCAUAUCCCAAUAACAUUCAAAAAUGAUAUUUUCUUUCUUAUAAUAUUUAUAUUUUCUAUUUUUAUUUGUGUUCUUACCGAGCUUCCAUGAUUAUGUAGCAGAUGACCAAAAUAACGAUUGUAGAACACAAAAUAUAGUUCGUUAGUUUUAUCGAAUAAAAAAUUAGGAACAAUAUCAAAGAGAAUAUAAGAUAUAGAUAUUUAAUCGAAAGUGUUAAAAAAAAAAAAAAAAAAAAAAAAAGACGAAAUAUGUGUAAAAUAAAGGUAAUUUAGAGCGUAAAGUUAACUGAAAUGACGACAAGAAGAGCGGAAUAAACUACAUCUGUGAUGUGACUUAGUCGCGAUCAGCGAUGGAGAAACUGCAUGCGUCGGUCUAGCUAACUAAGUUGAAAACGCAAUUGUUGAACACAGAUUUCGACAGAAAUUCAAAUGAUCUGAGAGAAUUGAUGGUGAAUAUGAUAGGUCAAGUUAACGUUAAGUUCUUAGUCAGGUUUUUGGAAAGAAACAACGGCAUGUUCAUCUUUAGGACUCGCGGUUGUAGUCAUGCAGGAGACGAUUCGAGACAGUAGGAUAGAUUUAGACAAAGUGCAGGAUUUUAAUGAAGACUCGCACCGGCACCCUGACAUGAACAUAUAAAUUUUUCGAGCCUCGAAACCAGCCUCGCUUAUGAUCAUGCCGAGUCAUAGCCGUGAUGGAAGUUGUCAGGAAACAACAGGUUAACCUAUCAUCAUAAAGUAAUUAGGCUUACAUUUUUUCGCUUUCAAUAUCAUAGAAUUCGCCAUGCAGAAGUUGCAGACGGUAUUUAAAACUGUAUAAAAUGAAACAACAGAACGGUAUGUUUAAUGUUUCUCUUUUAUAAAUUGAUGAAAUUCUUGUUUGUUUUCAAAAUAAACUCUGUAUAAAUAUC